rnacentral:rRNA from 1 species
CCUACGGGUGGCAGCAGUGAGGAAUAUUGGUCAAUGGACGAAAGUCUGAACCAGCCAUGCCGCGUGCAGGAUGACGGCUCUAUGAGUUGUAAACUGCUUUUGUACGAGGGUAAACACAGAUACGUGUAUCUGCUUGAAAGUAUCGUACGAAUAAGGAUCGGCUAACUCCGUGCCAGCAGCCGCGGUAAUACGGAGGAUCCGAGCGUUAUCCGGAUUUAUUGGGUUUAAAGGGUGCGUAGGCGGUUUAGUAAGUCAGAGGUGAAAUUUUGGUGCUCAACCCCAAACGUGCCGUUGAUACUGGUGGGCUAGAGAGUAGUUGCGGUAGGCGGAAUGUAUGGUGUAGCGGUGAAAUGCUUAGAGAUCAUACAGAACACCGAUUGCGAAGGCAGCUUACCAAACUAUAUCUGACGUUGAGGCACGAAAGCGUGGGUAGCAAACAGGAUUAGAUACCCCAGUAGUC